rnacentral:rRNA from 1 species
UAGGGAAUCUUCGGCAAUGGACGGAAGUCUGACCGAGCAACGCCGCGUGAGUGAAGAAGGUUUUCGGAUCGUAAAGCUCUGUUGUAAGGGAAGAACGAGUGUGAGAGUGGAAAGUUCACACUGUGACGGUAUCUUACCAGAAAGGGACGGCUAACUACGUGCCAGCAGCCGCGGUAAUACGUAGGUCCCGAGCGUUGUCCGGAUUUAUUGGGCGUAAAGCGAGCGCAGGCGGUUAGAUAAGUCUGAAGUUAAAGGCUGUGGCUUAACCAUAGUAGGCUUUGGAAACUGUUUAACUUGAGUGCAAGAGGGGAGAGUGGAAUUCCAUGUGUAGCGGUGAAAUGCGUAGAUAUAUGGAGGAACACCGGUGGCGAAAGCGGCUCUCUGGCUUGUAACUGACGCUGAGGCUCGAAAGCGUGGGGAGCAAACAGGAUUAGAUACCCUGGUAGUCCACGCUGUAAACGAUGAGUGCUAGGUGUUAGACCCUUUCCGGGGUUUAGUGCCGUAGCUAACGCAUUAAGCACUCCGCCUGGGGAGUACGACCGCAAGGUUG